rnacentral:tRNA from 1 species
CAGGGAGACAACAAAAUGUUUAAUAUUAUUAUUUUGUCACCUUAGGUCGAUCGGUAUCUCACGUUUUUAAUUUAUUAAGAAUUUCAUUUCCUAAGUUUUUCUAGGUCACACCCAUAAUUUUUCCUGGGCCAUUAGCUCAGGUGGUUAGAGCGCACCCCUGAUAAGGGUGAGGUCCCUGGUUCAAGUCCAGGAUGGCCCAUAUCUCUAUGUUGGGGGUAUAGCUCAGUUGGUAGAGCGCCUGCUUUGCAAGCAGGAUGUCAGCGGUUCGAGUCCGCUUACCUCCACUGAUUACCACCUCUUCCAUAAUCUGUAGAAGGGAAAAAUUUGAGUUGUGAUCAUAAUUCUGAACGAAUCUAGCUUCCUAAUCAAAUCAUUAAGAUGCUGGACUCAUUGAAUUAAUUUCAUUGUUUUCAGAGAACCUUGACAACUGCAUAGAUUAUUUUUAAAGACAAAAAGCAUCUUUAAUGAUGCAGAUUUAUUAUUUGUGCAAAUGCAUUAAUAACAAUUCUAUUAAGCUGAUGCUUCAAUUUUGAAGUUAUU